rnacentral:rRNA from 1 species
AUUGAACGCUGGCGGCAUGCCUUACACAUGCAAGUCGAACGGUAACAGGUCUUCGGAUGCUGACGAGUGGCGAACGGGUGAGUAAUACAUCGGAACGUGCCCGAGAGUGGGGGAUAACGAGGCGAAAGCUUUGCUAAUACCGCAUACGAUCUCAGGAUGAAAGCAGGGGACCGCAAGGCCUUGCGCUCACGGAGCGGCCGAUGGCAGAUUAGGUAGUUGGGGGGAUAAAAGCUUACCAAGCCGACGAUCUGUAGCUGGUCUGAGAGGACGACCAGCCACACUGGGACUGGGACACGGCCCAGACUCCUACGGGAGGCAGCAGUGGGGAAUUUUGGACAAUGGGCGCAAGCCUGAUCCAGCCAUGCCGCGUGCAGGAUGAAGGCCUUCGGGUUGUAAACUGCUUUUGUACGGAACGAAAAGACUCUGGUUAAUACCUGGGGUCCAUGACGGUACCGUAAGAAUAAGCACCGGCUAACUACGUGCCAGCAGCCGCGGUAAUAC